AGCAUGAGUGAAGGCAUCAGGAGACACUGAGUUGGUGGGUGGCCCUGUGGCCCCAUACCUCUGUGGAUUUGACUUCUGCCCCAGCCUUUGUAUUUCUGGAGAAUGGUGCAUUUUGCCUUAUAUCCCGUGCUUCUUGGGAUAGGCUUGCCCAGCGGACAUAAUUCUCCAAGGACCACAUAGGAAGCCAAUGGAGGACUUUGUCUUAUAGUGCAAGGAGAACCACCUGCAGCUCGGCAUCAGCUAGACAAAAGAGUUGGCGGCGGAUUUCUGGCAUGCCAGAGAUCCCCUAAGACCAGUCACUAUCCAGGAAGAGGAAAUGAAGGUGGUGCAGUGCAGUUACAAUUACCUGGGGGUCCACUUGAGUUGUAAACCGCACUGGGUGGACAACACUGUAGCAUUAUGCAAGAAAGGCACUCGACUUCCUAAGGAGGCUCCGGUCUUUUGAUGCGCGCAGCAAAUUAUUAGACAUGUUUGACUAGUUCAUGGUGGCCAGCAUACUUCUGUACACUGUGUACUGCUGUGGAAGCAAGAUAAGUUCAAGCAAUGCCAAAUGCCUGAACAAACGCAUCAGAAAAGCCAGCUCCAUCAAAUCAUUUGCAGGGUGCUCUCUUUGAGCAUGGCCAGCCACCAGUUCAUUGCACCACAGCAUGCUAAGGACUGCUGGGGCCUUUCCUGCCUGCUGCUGUCAGGCACUGCAGUGCCUCCUGCUGAUGUGCCCACACUCUGCAUAACACGCCAAGACAUUUAAAGACAGAUAUCAAGAGCCUACAUAAUUAUAUCCAUCCAUGUCCUUGUUGAUUUAUAGUUAUCUAUUCAUGUAUGCACAACCUCGAUUGCACUGUGCAUUUACAGCUUGUCCUUUUGCGUUAUUGCUUUUGUGUUCGUGCACCUUCUUUGCUGCUAUAUGCAAAUAUAUCUUCCCUCCAUCAUCCAUACAUCUGUCCAUUUAUCCAUCAAACCUGCAUUUUUUUCUUAUGCUUCGCAAAGACAUUUUCUACAGUCGUUUUCUGUGUAAUAAAAAUGUAGCAAGUGA